AGCAACCUUAACUUUUUAAAGGCAAAAGUAAAAAAUUGUCCUUCUUUAUCUAAUAAUGCUAGACAAUGCUCUGCCAAGCCCUUCUCCUUAAUAUUAAGAUACAUAUAUACCCUGAACAGUUCUAUGUCGCUAAGCAACAAUAAAGUUAGAGUUCACAAAUUAAUUCCCACUUCGUCCAGCCUUCUCUAUGCUCAGAUCCACCUAAUUGUCUUGACAACUUCUAUCUCUAGCCAUCACACAUUUCCAUGCAAAGGAAGGGUCCACACCGUUCUGUCAUUAGUUAAGUUCUCGUUAUCUCUCCUUUUGAUGAUUUCCAAUGACUUGGUAAUGACGGGUUGCAUAUAGUUUCUAAACUGCUUGAUUCGUUUAACUCCUGCCCAAUCUAUACUAACAUUCUUACUAUAUGCUUCAACAGCUAAAGAAUGAGAAAGACCCGCUUAAGCAGAAUGA
rnacentral:lncRNA from 1 species